GCUCUCCUGACGCGGCCGGGCCGGACCCCGGAGGAACCAGCUGGUCAGCUGGCAAGGGGCUGGCUGCGGUUCCGACAGCGGCGGUGCCGGGAGGGGUAGGUGAGGGUCGCGAGGCGGCCCUGAGCUUCUGAGUGAGCGUGGUGCUUUUGGGAACGCGGGACGGGCGACCCGUGGAGCCAGGAGCGGGGCCGAGGCGCUGAGACGCGGCGGCGCGGCUGCCGGCUGCAUGGGAAGUUAAUGUUUACGGCGAAGUCUACUCAACGUUUCCAAGAUUGUUAGAAACGGAUAGUAAGUCUUUAAGAUCUGUAAAUGGGUCAAGAAGAAACAGUGGCUCUUCUCUUGUGUCGAGUUCAUCAGCCUCUAGCAACCUCAGUCACCUUGAAGAAGAUUCUUGGAUUCUUUGGGGAAGAAUUGUUAAUGAAUGGGAAGAUGUACGCAAAAAGAAGGAAAAGCAAGUUAAGCCCUUUGAAUGUUGGGUACUGUACCAUCAUUCACAGCUCUGCAGGUUUCAAGUCCAUUACCUUA
rnacentral:sRNA from 1 species